UGCAGCUUGGGGAGCCGUUGCUUCUUUUACGCUAUCUGGCAAUGCACUCUUCGCGUUAACCACGCUUAAGGUACAGUGAUUGUAGGUGAAGAUGUGCGUAGCGGUGUGUGUAUGUAGUGGGUGUGUGCGUCAUUAGCGGGAGAGAUGAACAGCACACGGCAUGCAUGAUCAUAAGGAGUAAGGAAGACAUUUACUCUCAACCACUCUAUGCACCGAAAUCGCUAGAUGCUGGUCUUUUCUUAACUGAGUGAGUUAAACAACUUGGAAUAAAUGAUGAAAGCCGUCUCAAAGCUGAACUCAGUCUGGAUCAUUGAGCUGGGAAUAUAACGAGAAGUAAAAAGAAGUAACUGAACGGCUUCAUGGCACAUAAAAAGAUGACAUGACCCACACCUAUAGCUCCACUGCAAAUCAUGUGAGAGCCAAGAUCUCCUCUCUGUAUUGAUUGUCGGUAGACAAACGGCCAUGUACUCCUCUAACGGAAGCGACCUCUUUAAUGUGACUGCUACUCCCUCUUCUUCCACCCCGGGGCCCGGUCGGGCGGCUGUAAUACGAGCCGCUGCUGCCAUGAUUAUCAUGGCGCUGGGCAUCAUGGGCAAUGGGACGAUCAUUGCUGUUAUUGUGAGGACCCGUUCACUACGCAACAUAACAGGUGUGUUCCUUGUGAAUUUGGCUGUAGCUGAUCUGUGCGUGGCUAUGUGGACAUUACCUUUCAUCAUUGACGCAGCGCUCUUAGGAUGGUGGAGGUUUGGGAAUACCUGGUGCCAGGCAUCAGGGUUUUUAGAGAUUCUCUUCACCUCAGCCUCAGUGUCCACCCUUGGCCUUAUCAGUUACGACAGGUUAGUUCAAGAUGAUAGUACAUGGUCAGUUAUGCAGAAAUGAUAUUUGCUUACCAUGGUGCAGUUGUGCUUCAACAGAAGUAAAACAAAAAACCGAGGCGAAAUAGGCACCCAUGAGUAUUUGGAGCUUGUAUCCAGUCAUGAACGCUAUGGAAUAUGCUUUAAAUUAAAUAUGAGUAACCUGCCGAAAAG